CGCGAGCCACGGGCUGCAGCAGCAACAGCAACGCGGGCAGAGGUGGGCGCGCGAGGCCGCUGGUGUGAGCGCGAGGCCAAGCUCCCCUCUCUCGCCCCCGCCUUCCCCCCGGACAGGUUCUUCGGGUCUUCCUCCUCACCGGUAUGGGCAUGCACACCCGCGCCUGCCUGCCUGCCCCAUUCCUCCUGGAUUUCCGUCCUCCCUUUGCCUUCUGCCUCCCCAAUUUGCCUUUUGGAGCGGCUCCCUUCGGGACUCCGCUGCACGGUCUCCCCUUCCUGCACCUUGCCAGGGUCCGGUCCGCCUUCUUGCCUGGGCAGAAGAAAGGGAGGUGUAACGGAGAGGACCCCACCGGUCGCAACACGCACAAGUCGUGUUUCUCCUCGGGUUCACGCUGCUAACUUGUAGGAGGAGACGGAGCAGCUGCUCCUGCCGCCAGGCGAUGGGCACGUUCCCGUGGCGGGGGCUCGGGCUUCUUCUGGUCGCUUUGGCUUGCCUGGCAGGAGGGGCGCGCGUCUCUAUUUGGACUGAUGACUGACCUGAGACGCAAAAACAUCUUUCUGAAAUUUGAUUUCUUCAAAUUCUUACAUUGCUGAUAUAGAGGGAAGCAGCAGCAACUACACAAGAAUGGAUGACUUUCCUGAGCAAAUACUGAAUAGGAUACUUUUGCAUCACCCUCAUCUUGUUUCAAGUAACAACUUUAUGAAGCAACAGUAUUAUCAAAAUGUAAUGAAAAGGCAAUUAAUUUGGAAGAAGUAACGUGGUUGUUGGUAUGUGCUGUCAAAUCACCUCUGCCUUAUGGUGACCCUACGAAUGAAAAAUCUCCACAAUGUCCUGUCCUCAACAGCCCUGCACAGUUCUUAUAAACUCGAGCCUGUGACUUCUUUUAGAAUUUUUUCCUCUCCACUCCACCAUUCUGGGUGAUUGCCUAGUUUUCUCCAAAGGCUACACCUCCCUUUUCUCAAUGCCUAGAAAGGCCUGGCAGAGAGAAAGGAAGGGAAAAGCUUUUGCUCACAAAGGAAUGGAAGUACCACCUAUGAUUUAUCUUUUGGGCUGACUUCAAGCCUGAGUCAGCUCGUUCACUGGCAUUGUGUUAUUUGGGGAAUGUCUUCAGCUAUGAUGGAGAGGGGCAGAAACUGCUCUUGUCUUCAUGAACAUUCAAGAGAACGUGAAAUCUGAUUGGCAGACCAUCUUGAAAAGUCUGGAAGGUGAUGAAUAAAAGAUAAACAGAAGUUCACCUUUAGUUUAGUUAGCUUAGCUAUCUUUCAGGAGAUGCUGUACUCCGUUGUCCCUUUGUGCCAUGCUCUGUGGCUGCUGUGCUGGUGUGAAAGUACUACGUAGUUUAGUUAGCUUUCUUAUUUUCUUCUGUGUUUAUUUUGUAUUGCUCCUGCUUUAGAUUUUAAUUGUUUGCUUCAAAAUAUUUUUGAUGCAUUUUUGAAACCUUUUAACCCUUUUGCCAUGUUGACUUUUCCACUAUAUUUAAUUAUAUAUCUCUCCAUUUAA